UUUAUUACCUUGAUCCUGAUCUCUAACUCUUAUUCCCAAACAGAAAUCAUUGAGUUUAUUAAUAUUGUCUACUCUAGGAUCAUAUUAAAACAAAGCGAGGUAUAUUUCAUUCAACUACUCACGACGUCUUUCAUAUAUCUAUUUACUAAAGCGAGGUAUAUUUGACUCAUAUAAUAUUUAACUACCCAAUUCGAUUUUUGUUUCAGUAAGAUGUGUGUGUUUUUGGUGCAAUCAGUAAGAUGUGUUGUGUUCUUACUUCUUAUGGAUGUGUCCAAGUUGUUUACAUAUGAUAACAGAGGAUCCUCCUCAUAGCUGAAGUUACAAAAAGAGAAGAAGAUAUUUUUUCACUAAAGCUAAGUAUUCUUUUUUUUUUUUUUUUUGAAACACUACUAAAGCUAAGUAUUCUAUCCAGAAAAUAUAUUAUGUUUCUUAUUGUGGAAUUAUUUUUUCAGACAAUUUAGGCUCUACAAUAAAAAUUCAGAAGCUAAUUUAGAUGUAUUUACAUGUAAUUUACUAAUUUAGGCUCUAAUAAUUCAAAAGAUAAUUUUAAUUUAUAUAAAUAAAAUACAACAAAGUCUGUUAAGAUAAGUUGAUCUCAAGUCUAUCUUUAUAAAGUUUGCAUAAUAUAUUGUUCAAUGAACCUUGUAAAAUAAUGAUUUGUUCUUCACUGGCCAUAUGUUUAUGUUCGUAAAACUACUAAAAGACAACUUCAAACAAACAUUUUUUCUUGUUUAGUAAAACAGGAUCACCAUACCUUUCCAGACACUAUUCAGUACUGGUUCUGUUUUAAGAAGAAGCUCUUUUCAACUAACAACUGAGAAAAUAAUCUUAACAGGUACUCAUAAGCUCUCCUUUUGUUAUUUUUUUUGUGUGCUUAUGUUGUAAUUAGUGUAUAUGAAUAGUAGCUGUUUUGAUUUUACUAUUGAAUAUAAUGUUAUGGAUAUACAAUAUUAUUUUACAUUUUAGCAGAAUGAUAUUUAAAUUGAGCUUUCUAACUAAACUUACUUUAUGCCUCCAAGUGUGAAUUUUAUUUUCUUUCUUUCUUUUCUACUACAUUGGAGGGUUUGUAGCUCUCCAAUAAAUAUUGCUUGCCCCACAACAUCUACAUAAAACGCAACAUCUACAUAAGUCAAUAUUCAGUCAAACAAAAUUCAAACAAUCACGAUUUUCUUAAGAAACUUUUUAAACUUAUCAAUCAAGAAACUUGUGUUUAGCCUUCCAUUUAAAAUAGUUUCAAACUCCAUAAAAGAAAGAAACAUAUCGGUCACUACUGAAUUCAUAUGGAGUAAUUAUGGUGAGGUCUAUAAAACCCAUUUUAUAAACAGUGAGCGGUAGGUCGGUAUUCACCAGUGCUGAAAUUAAGUAAAACAUUUCAAGGUUUUUCUAAUCACCCAUACGGCAGUCCUCCCCAAACUAACCAAAUAGUUUUUCUUGUUGCAUGAAUUUUAAUACACUGUAACAAAGAUAUGAAUAAUUAAUAAGUCAUGACAGACGCAUGAAAUAUCAAAUAUUUCUUGACUAAAUUAGCUUAUAAUCGUUUACCUUGUCAUAUAAAAUGAUUCUGAUGUGUCACCAAAUUGUUUAUUGAAUUGUUUAAAUGUGCAUGUGAACAGCUUUCACGUGGAUCCACCAAUUCGUUUUGCUAGGUUUCACUUCGGAGAGGUAUGAUAACUUCUCUGUAAGCUUCAUGUUUUCUAUGUAGCUAUUGGUAUUUUGUGUUAGCUGCCACCUCUGCCA
rnacentral:lncRNA from 1 species